GAAGCUUGAUACCCUGCGUGGGAGCCAGAUGCCAGGCCAAGCACGGGCAGCAGCUGGGGAACAGUUGAGGAGUGACCAAGCACUGUUGCCAAUUGGAAGAAGGAAGGAAUUCCUGAGAAAAAAGCAGUUUUCAGAAGGAUUCUGAAGGUAGCAAAACCGUAAGAUGUGCCUGUAUCACCUGUCCAGCAUGCUGCCCUUUUUGGAGGCCACGGUGGUACGUACCUCUGAGGAGCUCACCCUGUACGUCCCAGCCCCGAUGCCAGACCUGCUGUACUGCCUGGAGGCUCCGGUGUGCCUCAGCUAAGGGGCUGAAGGCAAGGUUUCUGUUGAAAAAACAAGUACAGAAGUAUGUUGAUGACACCUGAAGGAGUUUCUCUUGUAAAUUAUGAAGGUGAUUUUACUGCAGAAAGAAGAAUGAAUGAGCGCACUGAUGCUCAACAAGAACUCCAUAAAUGAGCCCUGAUUUGUCAGUGCAGCCUCUUCAGACUUUUUGUGCUGAACUAGCAGAGUCUAAUCCAAUUUAAAAUGCAUCCAAAUUCCCAGCAGCAACCGGCAGGAAAGCAGGACAAAGCUGCCAUCCAGACGGCCAGCUCUGAGAGGGGACCUGGAGCUGAGACAGGGCUGAGACACUUGAGGGUCGGUGUCUGUCUGCAGGCACCUCGCUUCAACCAGGGCAAACUUCCAACUGCAGCAACAUCACUAAACCUUGUCCUCAUUUCAGGCAUCGGCUCCAGUCCCAUGUCCUCUGCCUGACUGGGGGCUUGUGGCCACCUUGACCUCAGUUUCCCAGUUAUGAAAAUAAGAUGAAUGAAAAGGCUUCUGUAGUUGCUGGGCAAAUCUGCAGCAAAAUUUUUCAGGGGAAAAAAAAAAAAAAAGAAAGAAAAAAAAAAAGAGAACUAUUUUAAGACGUAUUUUAAAUGCUGUGGCUGACUCUGUGUUUCUCAAGCCCAAAGCAGCCCGCAGGCCAUCUGUCUUCUGAAGAACUGGUCUCUGAGACUGGGCACAGAAAGAUCCUCAAGCACACCAUGACUUAGAAAUCGGCUCCAAGGUGGGGAGGACUGUUUUAUUUGCUGGCUUGGGACACCCCAUCCAUGGGCUACUAAUCCUCUUUUCAUCCUCCUGAUGAAAGCAAGCUGAAGGAGAGGUCACCAGGAUUUGCCCCAAAUAGCUUGGGUUUGCAGCGCGGUCUGGAGCCAAAGUUUGGAUAAGCAUAAAAAGCUUUGGAUAAGCCAUGUUGAAGUGAAGGUCAGAUGAGAUCAGUAUACUGCUGAUCAUUCAUGAGUAUUACUUUCAGUUUCCACAAGGGAUCCUGAUCUUUGGGCAGGCAGAAGAUGGCUUUUUCAGGGACUGCUUCUCUAACAUUAAUGGGAGGCAUCAAAUCAAAGUUUUCUCCCGCCCCCCCACAUCUCUCACCCUCCUCAGAAGAGUCUUAUCGAGGCCAGCUCUGAAAGCUGCAUGGGCUUGCACAGUUCCUAAAAUAUCACAGCUGAAAUUGCCAGCAAUUGGUGAAACCCGCUUGACUGCAAAGGCGCCCUCAUUUCACGAACACCUCACUCCAAACGCAGACACUUUUUUCUUGCACACAUCCAUCUCUGGGCCAGGGUUUUGACCCCACGGCUGUGCUGGGAUUACGAAGGAAGAUCUACUAAAUCUAGGAAAAAUCAACAGAGCAGAGCUGCGUCAGCAACAUGCUUUAGCAGAAGCUCCUCUCAGUCCUAAACCUUGGGGAGCGCUAAACAAACCAACCCAGGGACAAACCAUUCGUUUUCAUCUGCCGCAGAAACAUCACCAAAUGAAAAGCAGCCUGGUAGAUCUCUCCUCUCCAUGAGCUCCUCCUACACUUGAUUACAGGAAUGCUAAUAAACCCAUUGCCAAAGCCCCACGGGCACAGCCCUGCUCGGAUGACUUCCCGAUGAACAUUUUUCCUGGCUCAGCCAGUUGCUCCGCUCAUGGAUUUGCUUCAUCCUGGUAACCGAUUUGCUCUUUCCAGAGUUAUAUUCAUUGAAACUGAAUAUUUAACAAAACCAGACAUGUUUAUCCAAUAUGAGGAGUCAUAGCUGGCUGGGAGAAUGUGGAAACUGAAGUGAUGGAGACUGCCAAAUGCUCAUAAGCACUGGUAACAGUACAGUGCAAAAGAAAUGUCCAAAAAGACAGCUCCCAAAAGUAAAGCUUAACCCUUAGAAGAACUGAACAAGUGGAGAGGUGAAGACAGGGCUUGUCACUAGCUGCUCUUCCCUGCCUACGCACAGCCGGUGGCAGCACCUUUCACAGAUGUCGUGAAUCACAGGUGAGAACAAAAAAAGCACCGAGGCCAUUUGAUACUGCAAAGGUUCUUAUUUCAUUUCUGUGACAGUGGAUUGCUUUAAAAGUGUGUCUUAACCCCCAGCUCUGCAGCCCCAGCAAGGCUUGACUCUCACAACUGACUGUGAUUUAAAUGGCUCCUGCUUUAAAAGCAGCUUCUGGGUUUCUGGCACGCCUGUCAGUGGGGCAGGAGCUGUUCUCCGGGGCUGGUUAUAUGAGCCUUAGCCAAUAAGUCUUCAUACACGGGAUAAAAUAAAAUAGAGUGAAACCCAUCAUGCUGCUAAAGGCUGAAACUAGUAAUCAUCAUCGUAAAGUUGGGAGAGGCAACUUAAGAGAUUAUGAUGCUAUUAGAAAUGUCAUCCCAGUGCCACAUAUAUAUGAGAACUUGAAAUUAAUAAAUACAUGCUUUUGGGGAUUUUUAUUUUUCUUAAAUGAAAGUCCUCCAAAAGCUGCAAAAGGGGUUAAGAACAAGUUGCUAAAGGGAGAUGAACAUCCUCAGGAUCUCAAGAACAUAUCACAAAAGCUCUGUGAAGACUGGGAGAGCACAGGAGCAAAGCCAUGCAUCAAAAAUUUGUUUUAAAACAAAAUCAGGCUCUGGCCUGGCUGGAGAGAAACGAGCCAGUCCGUCUGAGCUCCAGGCCGGUUCUGCAGACACUGACCUUUUCACACUGAAAAUCAGAAACUGAAGGUGACUGUCACUGCUUAAAAUGAGCCAUCUCAAGUGAAGGUGGUAGGAACCAGUGUCUGCACUUGAACAACAGCCUCAUUUUUUUGGCCACGUCUCUGCUGGUGUGCCAACACCUCCCCCCUUGAGUGUUUAGACCAAAAAAUGAAAAAUAUUUUGGUGAGGACGAAGGGCAGGAAGUCUUCAGAAAAGGGAAACGAUUUCAAGUAAGAGAUUCCUCUUCACCUUUCAAAUGUUAUCUCAUACUUACAAGACUUUUCGGCUAGCAGCUAAAAGGGCAGGUUUUGAAAGAAGUGUUGCCGGCUGGGCUAAAUCAGGUUGCUAGAAAAGGUGUAAGCAAUUUGAGUAACAGUGUACUCCUUCACAGAUUACUGGUGCCAAGUGCAGAGCAGGGGAGGGUUGGGUGGCUGCUCAGCUCCAUCCCCCCACUCUCAUUCCUCUGCUUUACUUUUGUUCCCAAAACGUGCAUUACCUCUCUCCCUUGGGAACCCGUCCCUAUGGCAACAUAUAGGGCUAUCUGGAUGCAGGCAUGCUGGUACUUUGACAGCCCCUUCUUCCUGUGACAGUUCUUACGGCAACAUCCUGGGAUUGUCAGAAAGAUGACGUGAGAUCUCCUGUGUCCAAGACACCAUUUGGAUGAUUUUCUACUGAGAACUUUUUUUUGCAGUCUUUCACUCUUCUAACUCUUGAACUCUCAGUCUGUACACCACGACUGCAAUUUUAUCUGAAAUGUGUUGCAAAAUCUAUGUAUUUGCUUUUAUCAGCAAAAAUCUGUAACCUCAAAUGAGAUGUUUUUGACAAGACCUACUUUCCAUAAAGCCACGUUGCCAAGUGUU